rnacentral:rRNA from 1 species
GACGAACGCUGGCGGCGUGCUUAACACAUGCAAGUCGAACGGUAAGGCCCUUCGGGGUACACGAGUGGCGAACGGGUGAGUAACACGUGGGUGAUCUGCCCUGCACUUCGGGAUAAGCCUGGGAAACUGGGUCUAAUACCGGAUAGGACCACUGCCUGCAUGGGUGGGGGUGGAAAGCAUUUGCGGUGUGGGAUGGGCCCGCGGCCUAUCAGCUGGUUGGUGGGGUGAUGGCCUACCAAGGCGACGGCGGGUAGCCGGCCUGAGAGGGCGACCGGCCACACUGGGACUGAGAUACGGCCCAGACUCCUACAGGAGGCAGCAGUGGGUAAUAGUGCACAAUGGGCGCAAGCCUGAUGCAGCGACGCCGCGUGAGGGAUGACGGCCUUCGGGUUGUAAACCUCUUUCAGCACCGACGAAGCGCAAGUGACGGUAGGUGCAGAAGAAGGACCGGCCAACUACGUGCCAGCCGCCGCCGUAA